rnacentral:lncRNA from 1 species
UGCAAAUCAAAACCACAAUGAGAUACUUUCUCACACCAUCAGAAUGAUUAUUCUUGAAAAGUCAAAAAAUAACAGAUGCUGGUGAUGUUGUGGAUUGUUGUCUCUGGCAGCCAUGAAGGCACUUCACUCAGAUUUUCCUCCGACAAGACCUGCUGCAGGAGCUCAGCUGAUGGCCCACAGUGGCAGGGCAGCUAGCUUACUAGUGCACUUUUACUGUGUGCACUACCACACUUUCUACCAUUGACUAUGAAUAAUGUCUGUUUUAAAGUAUGAUAAAACUUUUUCCAGCAAUAAACAAAUCAGAAAACAUUUGUUACUAUGUACAAGGUUCUGUGUUAGGUUUAGUAAUCUACAUGUGCAUCUCCCAAGCUGUCCCCAUAGAAUGUUUAUUAUAUAUUAUUUAGCAUUCUAUCUCUAACACUCUUUUUAGGCAGUUUUUGCUUGUUUGGCCUUCAGAGUCUCAUUAAGAUAUCAUUUAUAAUUAGGUGGGGAAAGCAUACAUUGUCCAAAUCAAAAGGAAAGUAUUCUGUGUUCCUGUUUAAGUGCCCAUUUAAAUUGAUGCUGAAGUUUUCAAC